CUGUGCCAGGCUUGUAAGUCUCUCUCUGGGCCUCCAUUCCCUCCUGUAGGAAAUUGGAGGGGUUAGGGUGGCUCCAGUGAGCUUUUCCCUUCUGAAACUCAUACUAAUCUGGGGCAGCCAAGGCUUAGCCCCCCAGCCUGUGAACCUCUCACAGUGCCCACAGCCAUGCCCUCCUCCAUCCAGGGGCUGACAGGUGGGAGGGGUAGCCCCGCCCCGGGGAGUGGACUUACCUGGCCUCUCUGCUCAGAGAUCAUCAAUUAUGAAUUUGACACCAAGGACCUGGUGUGCCUGGGCCUGAGCAGCAUCGUUGGCGUCUGGUACCUGCUGAGGAAGGUAUUUGGCACCAAUGUGAUGGUGACAGUGGCCAAGUCCUUCGAGGCACCAAUAAAAUUGGUGUUUCCCCAGGAUCUGCUGGAGAAAGGCCUCGAAGCAAACAACUUUGCCAUGCUGGGACUUGGAGAUGUCGUCAUUCCAGGGAUCUUCAUUGCCUUGCUGCUGCGCUUUGACAUCAGCUUGAAGAAGAAUACCCACACCUACUUCUACACCAGCUUUGCAGCCUACAUCUUUGGCCUGGGCCUUACCAUCUUCAUCAUGCACAUCUUCAAGCAUGCUCAGCCUGCCCUCCUAUACCUGGUCCCCGCCUGCAUCGGUUUUCCUGUCCUGGUGGCGCUGGCCAAGGGAGAAGUGACAGAGAUGUUCAGUUAUGAGGAGUCAAAUCCUAAGGAUCCAGCGGCAGUGACAGAAUCCAAAGAGGGA
rnacentral:sRNA from 1 species